rnacentral:snRNA from 1 species
GGAUGUGAGGACGAUCUGGCUGCAGCAUCUGUCACCCCAUUGAUUGCCAGGGUUGAUUCGGCUGACCUGGCUGGCUAGGGCAGGUGUCCCCUUCCUCUCUCACCGCUCCAUGUGCAUCCCUCCUGAAGCUGCGUGCUCUCUCGAAGAGGACGGCCUUCCCCGAAUAGAGACGGACUGGUCUUCAGUCGAGGGUAUAUGAGUAGCUGCGCUCCCCUGCUAGAACCUCCAAACAAGCUCUCAAUAACAGUUUUAUUGAGAUGUAAUUCACAUACCAUUCAGUUCACCCAUUUAAAGAGUACAGUUCAGUAAGUUUU